rnacentral:ncRNA from 1 species
UUAAAGUUUUGUUUUGGCUUAUUAUAUAAAUAUAUUGUAAAUUAUAUGUAAAUAUUUUAUUUUAAAAAAUAAAAGUGCAGUAAAUUUAAUUAAAAAUUAAAGAAAUUUAGAAUUAGUUAUAAAUUUUAGAAUAAACAUAAUUUGUGCCAGCAGUUGCGGUUAAACAAAUUAUUCAAUUUAUAUUUUUUAAAAUUUUAAUAUUUAAUUAAAAUGAAAUUUAUAAUUUAAUUUUAUUAAGUGAAAUUUUAAAAUUAAUUUAUAUUAAUAAAAAUUUAAAUUUUAAUAAAUUUAAUAAAAAACUAGGAUUAGAUACCCUAUUAUUAUAAAUAAAAAAUUAUUUUAAUUAGUAUAAAUUAUUUUUUUUUGAAAAUUAAAAAAUUUGGCGGUAUUUUAGUCUAUUCAGAGGAAUCUGUUCUGUAAUUGAUAGUCCACGAAUAUUUUUACUUAUUUUUAGUUUAUAUAUCGUCGUAGUUGAUUAUUUUAUAAGAAUAUAAUAGUCAAAAUUUUUUAUUAAAAAAAAUAAAUCAGAUCAAGAUAUAGCUUAUAAAUAAGAAGAAAUGGAUUACAAUAAAUUUAUUUUUGGUUAAUUAUUUUAAUAAUAAUUAUAAAUUGGAUUUGAAAGUAAUUUAAUUUUAUUAUUUAUAUGAUUUUAGCUCUAAAAUAUGUACAUAUCGCCCGUCACCUUCAAAUAAAUUGAAGUAAGUCGUAACAUAGUAAAUGUACUGGAAAGUGUAUUUAGGAUUCA